AACGAACGCUGGCGGCAUGCCUAACACAUGCAAGUCGAACGCCUGCAGCAAUGCAGGAGUGGCAGACGGGUGAGUAACCCGUGGGAAUCUACCCAGUAGCUCGGAAUAACCGCGGAAAACUGCGGCUAAUACCGGAUAAGCCCCAAGGGGGAAAGGAGCAAUCCACUAUUGGAGGAGCCCGCGUCUGAUUAGCUAGUUGGUGGGGUAAUGGCCUACCAAGGCGAUGAUCAGUAGCUGGUUUGAGAGAACGACCAGCCACACUGGGACUGAGACACGGCCCAGACUCCGACGGGAGGCAGCAGUGGGGAAUAUUGGACAAUGGGGGAAACCCUGAUCCAGCAAUGCCGCGUGGGUGAUGAAGGCCUUCGGGUUGUAAAGCCCUUUGGGCAGGGACGAUGAUGACGGUACCUGCCGAAUAAGCCCCGGCUAACUUCGUGCCAGCCGCCGCGGUAA
rnacentral:rRNA from 1 species